GACGAACGCUGGCGGCGUGCUUAACACAUGCAAGUCGAACGGAAAGGCCUCUUUCGGGGGGUACUCGAGUGGCGAACGGGUGAGUAACACGUGAGUAACCUGCCCUUGACUUUGGGAUAACUUCAGGAAACUGGGGCUAAUACCGGAUAGGAGCUCCUGCUGCAUGGUGGGGGUUGGAAAGUUUCGGCGGUUGGGGGUGGACUCGCGGCUUAUCAGCUUGUUGGUGGGGUAGUGGCUUACCAAGGCUUUGACGGGUAGCCGGACUGAGAGGGUGACCGGCGACACUGGGACUGAGGGAAGGCACAGACUCCUAAGGGAGGCAGCUGUGGGGAAUAUUGAACCAUGGGUGGAAGCCGGAUGAAGCAACGCCGUGUGCGGGAGGACGGCCUUCGGGUUGUAAACCGCUUUCGCUCAUGACGAAGCUUUGUGUGACGGUAGUGGGUAAAGAAGCACCGGCUAACUACGUG
rnacentral:rRNA from 1 species